AAUCAACGCUGGCGGCGUGCCUCAGACAUGCAAGUCGAACGCGAAAGUCCCCUUCGGGGGACAAGUAGAGUGGCGCACGGGUGAGUAACACGUAGGUAAUCUACCUUCGGAUGGGGAAUAACAACCGGAAACGGUUGCUAAUACCGCAUAAUGCAGCGGCACCUAAUGGUGACAGUUGUUAAAGCGGGGGAUCGAAAGACCUCGCGUCUGAAGAGGAGCCUGCGGCGGAUUAGCUAGNGGUAAGGUAAUGGCUUACCAAGGCGACGAUCCGUAGCCGGCCUGAGAGGGCGGUCGGCCACACUGACACUGACAUACGGGUCAGACUCCUACGGGAGGCAGCAGUCGGGAAUUUGGGCAAUGGGCGAAAGCCUGACCCAGCAACGCCGCGUGAAGGAUGAAA
rnacentral:rRNA from 1 species